rnacentral:rRNA from 1 species
UACAGAGGUCCCGAGCGUUGUUCGGAUUCAUUGGGCGUAAAGGGUGCGUAGGCGGCGGGGCAAGUCUGAUGUGAAAUCCCGGGGCUCAACCCCGGAACUGCAUUGGAUACUGCCUUUCUAGAGUACUGGAGAGGGAACUGGAAUUUACGGUGUAGCAGUGAAAUGCGUAGAGAUCGUAAGGAAGGCCAGUGGCGAAGGCGAGUUCCUGGACAGUUACUGACGCUGAGGCACGAAGGCCAGGGGAGCAAACGGG